GACGAACGCUGGCGGCGUGCUUAACACAUGCAAGUCGAACGGAAAGGCCUCUUUCGGGGGGUACUCGAGUGGCGAACGGGUGAGUAACACGUGAGUAACCUGCCCUUGACUUUGGGAUAACUUCAGGAAACUGGGGCUAAUACCGGAUAGGAGCUCCUGCUGCAUGGUGGGGGUUGGAAAGUUCCGGCGGUUGGGGAUGGACUCGCGGCUUAUCAGCUUGUUGGUGGGGUAGUGGCUUACCAAGGCUUUGACGGGUAGCCGGCCUGAGAGGGUGACCGGCCACAUUGGGACUGAGAUACGGUCCAGACUCCUACGGGAGGCAGCAGUGGGGAAUAUUGCACAAUGGGUGGAAGCCUGAUGCAGCAACGCCGUGUGCGGGAUGACGGCCUUCGGGUUGUAAACCGCUUUCGCUCAUGACGAAGCUUUGUGUGACGGUAGUGGGUAAAGAAGCACCGGCUAACUACGUG
rnacentral:rRNA from 1 species